rnacentral:rRNA from 1 species
CUAGAGAUUAGUUUGAUCCUGGCUCAGAGCGAACGCUAGCGGCAGGCCUAACACAUGCAAGUCGAACGAACUCUUCGGAGUUAGUGGCGGACGGGUGAGUAACACGUGGGAACGUGCCUUUAGGUUCGGAAUAACUCAGGGAAACUUGUGCUAAUACCGAAUGUGCCCUUCGGGGGAAAGAUUUAUCGCCUUUAGAGCGGCCCGCGUCUGAUUAGCUAGUUGGUGAGGUAAUGGCUCACCAAGGCGACGAUCAGUAGCUGGUCUGAGAGGAUGAUCAGCCACAUUGGGACUGAGACACGGCCCAAACUCCUACGGGAGGCAGCAGUGGGGAAUCUUGCGCAAUGGGCGAAAGCCUGACGCAGCCAUGCCGCGUGAAUGAUGAAGGUCUUAGGAUUGUAAAAUUCUUUCACCGGGGACGAUAAUGACGGUACCCGGAGAAGAAGCCCCGGCUAACUUCGUGCCAGCAGCCGCGGUAAUACGAAGGGGGCUAGCGUUGCUCGGAAUUACUGGGCGUAAAGGGAGCGUAGGCGGACAUUUAAGUCAGGGGUGAAAUCCCGGGGCUCAACCUCGGAAUUGCCUUUGAUACUGGGUGUCUUGAGUAUGAGAGAGGUGUGUGGAACUCCGAGUGUAGAGGUGAAAUUCGUAGAUAUUCGGAAGAACACCAGUGGCGAAGGCGACACACUGGCUCAUUACUGACGCUGAGGCUCGAAAGCGUGGGGAGCAAACAGGAUUAGAUACCCUGGUAGUCCAC